rnacentral:rRNA from 1 species
UACGUAGGCAGCGAGCGUUGUUCGGAAUUACUGGGCGUAAAGAGUGUGUAGGCGGUGCUCUAAGUUCGGUGUGAAAUCUCCUGGCUCAACUGGGAGGGUGCGCCGGAAACUGGAGUGCUUGAGCGUGGGAGAGGAAAGCGGAAUUCCUGGUGUAGCGGUGAAAUGCGUAGAUAUCAGGAAGAACACCCGUGGCGAAGGCGGCUCUCUGGAACGCAAACUGACGCUGAAGACGCGAAAAGCGUGGGGGAGCAAACAGG